AACAUUGGAAAACAAAAUCAAUAUGUCCAAAAAAAAAUCACGAAAAAGAUCAAGCAGCCAUGAAAACAAACAUACAUAGAUUGCCGGAGAGAAAUUCAAGCAAAAUCAACCCGAAAAUAAUAAAAUAAUGUAAAAAUUAUCCAAAAUAACAAUAGCGAUACUUCAAAUUUAUUUCCACAAAACACACAAAAUAAUGGUAAAGCGAAAAGAAGAAGAAUUCACCGGGGUUUAAGUUUUUCCGGUAACUUGGUCAUGGUUUCCGGCAAAAUCUGAAAAUAAACAGAAAAAAAUAAUCGCAGUCAAAAGGGAAUAGAUCACGCUUCAAAGGAUUUCACCGGAGCAACACCGAAGAGGUAUUUUCGGCCAGAUCUACCCGUUUUUCGGCGAGCAGUGACGGUAGUAGCAGUGUUGCGUUGAACCUCGAAUCUCGCCGGUCACAACCUCCAGCGAGGCAGCGGCGGGAGAUGACAGAAAGAGAGGAAGCUGGGGCGGCAGAUGGUUUUUGUUGGUGGCUGAAACUCGUCGGCCAUCAACUCCGGCAAGCCACGAAGAAAGUAAAUUAAUGGGGAAUUUGCAACCGGCGGUGAGAAAAAGGGAAAGGAGGUGGCGCUGGUUGGUGGCUGGAAAGAGAGGAGAGCAGAUGAGAGGGAGAGAGAGAAGCAGAUUUUAUGCGCGUAUUUGUGCGAACUCGAAAAUAAGUCACAAAAUUAAAAAAAAUUAUUAAAAUAGGUCAUUUAUUUAAAAAAUUAUCAAAAUAUACAAAUAUAAUAAAUUAUUAUUUUAUUUUUUUAAUAGUCAACAUAAUUUAUAAAAUAUAAUAAUUUAUUAUAUCAAAUGAUAUAGUUUAUAAUAAUUUAUUACAUUUUAUAAACAAUGUUUGUAAAACAUAAUAAUUUAUUACAAACUACAAACAAUGUUUGUAAGUUAUAAUAAAUUAUUACAACUUACAUCUUUAUAUCUACCCACAUCACAUCAUUUUUACUUUUUCCAUUUUUAAAUUUAACCCAACCCAACCCACCCCACAUAGAAUCCUCCCACCCCACCCUACAUAAAAUCCUUCCACCCCACCUAUUAAUAAUUUUACAAAUUAGAACCUUAUUAUUACAAUUCAAAAAUUGUAACUAUUUAUUACAUUUUUAAUUCAAAAAAAAAAUUAAAAAAUUAUUGUUUCAUUUUGUUAAUUCAAGUACUACUUAACCCACUUUUUUGACUUUUUCUCAUAAAUAGUACUAAAAAAUUACUUUUUAUAAAUAAAUUUUAAAAAAAAAAAACAUAAAGAUUUCAUCAUUGCCCAAAGUUAUUUAUUGUAUUACACAUUUGUAUACAUAAUAUCCGUCUUUUUAUUUGCGGAGCCCUCGAAAAUCAACGAAAAAUUUCUUCAUCAGCCAAUUAAAUUAAUACUGAAUAUAGAUCAAAUACGAGUAAUUAAAUAAAAAAAAUAAAAGAUAAAAAUAAAAUAUGUCUUAUGUCUUUUGUCCUGGGGAGAUAUCAAAGAUUAACCGAGAAGUUUUACCAUUAUUCAAUUAAUUUAUUAAUAUCCUAGAAUAAAAUAAAAUCGAAACAUUCAAUUGAAAUUGUCUAACUUGGACCCAAAUUAAAAAAUGCAAUUUCUAAAAAAUAAACAAAUUGUAACAGUGAAUCAAAACCAGUAUAAAACAAAGCAACAAUGAACAAAGAUUACUAAAUAAUCAUAUGGAGUCACUGAAAAGUUUUUUUUUUUUUUUUUAAAUAAUGAAUCAUCAAAUGCACAAGAUUUAAUCUUGAAUAAACAUCAAUUGUGAGGAGUAAACAUUGGAAAACAAAAUCAAUAUGUCCAAAAAAAAAUCACGAAAAAGAUCAAGCAGCCAUGAAAACAAACAUACAUAGAUUGCCGGAGAGAAAUUCAAGCAAAAUCAACCCGAAAAUAAUAAAAUAAUGUAAAAAUUAUCCAAAAUAACAAUAGCGAUACUUCAAAUUUAUUUCCACAAAACACACAAAAUAAUGGUAAAGCGAAAAGAAGAAGAAUUCACCGGGGUUUAAGUUUUUCCGGUAACUUGGUCAUGGUUUCCGGCAAAAUCUGAAAAUAAACAGAAAAAAAUAAUCGCAGUCAAAAGGGAAUAGAUCACGCUUCAAAGGAUUUCACCGGAGCAACACCGAAGAGGUAUUUUCGGCCAGAUCUACCCGUUUUUCGGCGAGCAGUGACGGUAGUAGCAGUGUUGCGUUGAACCUCGAAUCUCGCCGGUCACAACCUCCAGCGAGGCAGCGGCGGGAGAUGACAGAAAGAGAGGAAGCUGGGGCGGCAGAUGGUUUUUGUUGGUGGCUGAAACUCGUCGGCCAUCAACUCCGGCAAGCCACGAAGAAAGUAAAUUAAUGGGGAAUUUGCAACCGGCGGUGAGAAAAAGGGAAAGGAGGUGGCGCUGGUUGGUGGCUGGAAAGAGAGGAGAGCAGAUGAGAGGGAGAGAGAGAAGCAGAUUUUAUGCGCGUAUUUGUGCGAACUCGAAAAUAAGUCACAAAAUUAAAAAAA
rnacentral:lncRNA from 1 species